rnacentral:rRNA from 1 species
UACCAGCACCCCGAGUGGUCGGGACGUUUUAUUGGGCCUAAAGCAUCCGUAGCCGGUUCUACAAGUCUUCCGUUAAAUCCACCUGCUCAACAGAUGGGCUGCGGAGGAUACUACAGGGCUAGGAGGCGGGAGAGGCAAGCGGUACUCAGUGGGGUAGGGGUAAAAUCCUCUGAUCCACUGAAGACCACCAGUGGCGAAGGCGGCUUGCCAGAACGCGCUCGACGGUGAGGGAUGAAAGCUGGGGGAGCAAAGCCGGG